rnacentral:rRNA from 1 species
GAUGAACGCUGGCGGCGUGCCUAAUACAUGCAAGUCGAGCGAACAGACGAGGAGCUUGCUCCUCUGACGUUAGCGGCGGACGGGUGAGUAACACGUGGAUAACCUACCUAUAAGACUGGGAUAACUUCGGGAAACCGGAGCUAAUACCGGAUAAUAUAUUGAACCGCAUGGUUCAAUAGUGAAAGACGGUUUUGCUGUCACUUAUAGAUGGAUCCGCGCCGCAUUAGCUAGUUGGUAAGGUAACGGCUUACCAAGGGAACGAUGCGUAGCCGACCUGAGAGGGGGUACGCCCACACGGGAACUAAACACGGGCCAAAACCCCCAGGGAGGGAACAGGUGGGGAAUUUUCCCCAUGGGGGGAAGGCUAAACGAGCCAAGCCGCGGGGAGGAAUAAAGGGUUUGGGUUGUAAAAACUCUGUUUUUGGGAAAAAAAAAAUUUUUAAAAAACUGUGCCGUCCUUAGCGGAACCAAAGAAAAAGGCCCCGCCAAACACCUG